rnacentral:rRNA from 1 species
AGUGGACGCGAGCAUCCAUCUGUGUGGUCAAGUUGUUAAGGGCGGACGGUGGAUGCCUUGGCACUGGGGGCCGAUGAAGGACGUGGGAGGCCGCGAUAGUCCUGGGGGAGCUGCCAACCAAGCUGUGAUCCCAGGGUGUCCGAAUGGGGGAACCUGGCCGGAGUCAUGUCCGGUCACCCGUACCUGAAUGCAUAGGGUGCGUGGGGGGAACGCGGGGAAGUGAAACAUCUCAGUACCCGCAGGAAGAGAAAACAAUAGUGAUUCCGUGAGUAGUGGCGAGCGAAAGCGGAAGAGGCUAAACCGGUCACGUGGAAUACCUGUCAGGGGUUGCGUGGCCGGGGUUGUGGGAGCCCACGGGGUGGGCUGACAACCACCCGGGGAGUGAGAAAACCUGGUGCUAGCCGAACAGUCUGGAAAGGCUGACCGUAGACGGUGAUAGUCCGGUAGGCGAAAGUGCUGGGUCUCCCGUGGGUUUUCCCGAGUAGCGGCGGACUCCUGGAAUCUGCCGUGAAUCUGCCAGGACCAUCUGGUAAGCCUAAAUACCUCCCAGUGACCGAUAGUGGAUGAGUACCGUGAGGGAAAGGUGAAAAGUACCCCGGGAGGGGAGUGAAAGAGUACCUGAAACCGUUCGCCUACAAACCGUCGGAGCCUUUUUGUGGGGUGACGGCGUGCUUCUUGCAGAAUGAGCCUGCGAGUUAGUGGCACGUGGCGAGGUUAACCCGUGAGGGGGAGCCGUAGCGAAAGCGAGUCUGAAUAGGGCGUUGAGUCGCGUGUCCUAGACCCGAAGCGGGGUGAUCUAGCCAUGGGCAGGCUGAAGCGUGGGUAAGACCGCGUGGAGGGCCGAACCCACCAACGUUGAAAAGUUGGGGGAUGACCUGUGGCUAGGGGUGAAAGGCCAAUCAAACCCCGUGAUAGCUGGUUCUCCCCGAAAUGCA